UAGUCAGUGUGUAUAACAAAGGAAAAGGA
rnacentral:piRNA from 1 species